rnacentral:rRNA from 1 species
UGGAUUAACUCAAUUGGCGUGCUUAACACAUGCAGUCGAACGCUGAAGUUCCCAGCUUGCUGGGGAUGGAUGAGUGGCGAACGGGUGAGUAUCACGUGAGUAACCUGCCCUUAACUCUGGGAUAAGCCCGGGAAACUGGGUCUAAUACUGGAUAUGACUGGUCAUCGCAUGGUGGUUGGUUGAAAGUUUUUGACGGUUUUGGAUGGACUCGCGGCCUAUCAGUUUGUUGGUGGGGUAAUGGCUUACCAAGGCUUUGACGGGUAGCCGGCCUGAGAGGGUGACCGGCCACACUGGGACUGAGACACGGCCCAGACUCCUACGGGAGGCAGCAGUGGGGGAUAUUGCACAAUGGGCGCAAGCCUGAUGCAGCGACGCCGCGUGAGGGAUGACGGCCUUCGGGUUGUAAACCUCUUUCAGUUGGGAAGAAGCCUUUUGGGGUGACGGUACCUUCAGAAGAAGCACCGGCUAACUACGUGCCAGCAGCCGCGGUAAUACGUAGGGUGCGAGCGUUAUCCGGAAUUAUUGGGCGUAAAGAGCUCGUAGGCGGUUUGUCACGUCUGCUGUGAAAGCUUAGGGCUUAACCCUGAGUUUGCAGUGGGUACGGGCAGGCUGGAGUGCAGUAGGGGAGACUGGAAUUCCUGGUGUAGCGGUGAAAUGCGCAGAUAUCAGGAGGAACACCGAUGGCGAAGGCAGGUCUCUGGGCUGUUACUGACGCUGAGGAGCGAAAGCAUGGGGAGCGAACAGGAUUAGAUACCCUGGUAGUCCAUGCCGUAAACGUUGGGCACUAGGUGUGGGGAACAUUUCCACGUUUUCCGCGCCGUAGCUAACGCAUUAAGUGCCCCGCCUGGGGAGUACGGCCGCAAGGCUAAAACUCAAAGGAAUUGACGGGGGCCCGCACAAGCGGCGGAGCAUGCGGAUUAAUUCGAUGCAACGCGAAGAACCUUACCAAGGCUUGACAUGCACUAGAUCGCCACAGAGAUGUGGUUUCCCUUCGGGGCUGGUGUACAGGUGGUGCAUGGUUGUCGUCAGCUCGUGUCGUGAGAUGUUGGGUUAAGUCCCGCAACGAGCGGAACCCCUAUUCUAUGUUGCCAGCAAUUCGGUUGGGGACUCAUGGGAGACUGCCGGGGUCAACUCGGAGGAAGGUGGGGACGACGUCAAAUCAUCAUGCCCCUUAUGUCUUGGGCUUCACGCAUGCUACAAUGGCCGGCACAAUGGGUUGCGAGACUGUGAGGUUGAGCUAAUCCCAUAAAACCGGUCUCAGUUCGGAUUGGGGUCUGCAACUCGACCCCAUGAAGUCGGAGUCGCUAGUAAUCGCAGAUCAGCAACGCUGCGGUGAAUACGUUCCCGGGCCUUGUACACACCGCCCGUCAAGUCACGAAAGUUGGUAACACCCGAAGCCGGUGGCCUAACCCUUUUUGGGGAGGAGCCGUCGAAGGUGGGACCGGUGAUUGGGACUAAGUCGUAACAAGGUAGCCGUACCGGAAGUGCGCUGAUCACCCCUCUCUUUAA